ACCAAUUUUAUAGUGAAACUGCGAAUGGCUCAUUAAAUCAGUUAUAAUUAACUUGAUAAUUUUAUACCAGUGGAUAACCGUGGUAAUUCUAUGGCUAAUACAUACAUUAAAGGGCUUUACUAUGUAAAGCCUGUAAUUAUUAGAUAAAAAACCAAUGCAUGCAAAUGCUUAUUUGGUGAUUCAUAGUAAAUUUACAGAUCGUUGUCAUUGACGACGUGUCAAUAAAAUUUCUGCCCUAUCAAUUGUCGAUGGUAAGGUAGUGGCUUACCAUGGUUGCAACGGGUGACGGGGAAUAAGGGUUCUAUUCCGGAGAGGGAGCCUGAGAAACGGCUACCACAUCCAAGGAAGGCAGCAGGCGCGCAAAUUACCCAAUCCUAAUACAGGGAGGUAGUGACAAUAAAUAACAAUCCAGGGCCCUUAUGGGUCAUGGAAUUGGAAUGAAUACAAAUUAAAACUCUUAAUGAGGAACCAUUGGAGGGCAAGUCUGGUGCCAGCAGCCGCGGUAAUUCCAGCUCCAAUAGCGUAUAUUAAAGUUGUUGCAGUUAAAACGCCCGUAGUCGAAUUUUUGAGAGAAUGAGGGUUUAAAAAGGGUUUAAUUUUUAAUUAAAUACCUUUUUUUUUUCUUAGUCUCUCAUUUUAUAUUUCUGGUCUUUGGGCUUAAUCGGUACUUUAUUGUAUCGAUUAAGUCAUUUCCAAUAGGUGGGCCAGAAAUAAUUACUUUGAAAAAAUUAGAGUGUUCAAAGCGGGCUUUUUAAGCCGAAUACAUUAGCAUGGAAUAAUAAAAUAAGACUAUGGUUUUAUUUUGUUGGUUUAUAAAACCAAAGAAAUGAUGAAUAGGUCUGGUUGGGGAUAUUAGUAUUUUUUAGUCAGAGGUGAAAUUCUUGGAUUUAUGAAAGACUAACUUCUGCGAAAGCAUUUAUCAAGGACAGGAUCAUUGAUCAAGGACGAAAGUUGGGGGAUCGAAGAUGAUUAGAUACCGUCGUAGUCUCAACCAUAAACUAUGCCAACUAGGGAUUGGGGCUGAUUUUAUCAGUCUCAGCACCUUGUGAGAAAUCAAAGUUUUUGG
rnacentral:rRNA from 1 species